rnacentral:lncRNA from 1 species
AGAGACACUGGGGUAACUACUGGUCAUCGAUACAUGGGCCUUCCUAAACUUCGGCUUCUGAAUAGGGCAGUCCUGGAACUGUGGGUCCACCUGGUGCCAGCGGCCCCCCAGGAAGUACGGGUCCCCCUGGCAUCAGAGGGCCCCCUGGGAAAGACGGGGAGCGCGGAGAGAAGGGAACGGCAGGUGAAGAAGGGAGUCCAGGACCAGCUGGUCCUAGGGGUGAUCCCGGGGCUCCCGGGCUCCCUGGAACACCUGGACAGGGAAAGGACGGAGAGCCGGGGCUUCGUGGGCCACCUGGAUUACCUGGACCUCUAG